AUCCCUGUAACGCAAUGGAUAGCGCGUUGGAUUUUUAAUCCAAAGUUCGUGGGUUCGAGUCCCAACUGGGAUG